rnacentral:lncRNA from 1 species
CCUAUGUCAGUUUUUUGUAAGGAUUCUUGAAUUUUAUUACUAUCCUAUUGUUAAUGCUACUUUAAUGAUAAUGAUGUUAAUAUUUAUCCUUUCCCCUUCCCCAAGAAAAAAAGUCAAGAAUAGGGUUAACUAGGAAGCUCAUUUAAGUCUUGAUUUCUUUCUAACCAAGGGCUUGUGAAACCAUCUGUGUAAACAAUUGAUUAAAGUUAACCACAAGGGACAAUGCAUGUCUCCUUUGCUUGUGGGUUAAUCUGCGGUUUGAUAUCAGUUGUUUAUUGUCUGUUCUGUAACAGACAGAACGAGUAAGCUUCAUAAGUGAAACCCAUAGAAUGUAUCCUUUCUUUUUUCAGUCUUGAUGUCUGAAAAUAGCAUACUUUGGACAACUAAGAUUUAUUUACUUGAAAUGGAAAGGAGUUGAGUAAAGGGCAGGUAGGAGGGGAGAAGGAAAUUUAUUCAACAAUUGUUUUUAACAAAUUGAGAAAAUUUGUAUUAGCAUGUGCAGGUCUUAAGCCAUUAUCAGAAAUAAUUUUUAGUACUCGUAGUUUUUCCCAUUUUACCAACAGAUAGAAUGAUAAGGCUCAUUACCUUUAGCAAUAAGACAUUUCAUGGUUAUGCAUGGCUGUGUUGCAUGUAUUGACCUUUCAGUUGAAAUAAGGUUAUUUAUUGUUACAAUUUUUUUUUUUAUUAUAACUUUUAGAGGAAGGCAAGUAAAAACCAAUCAUGUGCAAAGGGUUCUAAGGAAUGGAAGUAUAUAAUCAUUAAGCUUGAAUUGAAUGCUGCAGAAUCAUCAAAAAGAAAAAAAAAUAAAGGGAAGAGGAUAAAGGAAAGGAAAUUAACAAGGUAAUCAAAAGGUAUAUGGUUACAGUAGUGCUGGCUCUACAGGCAGUCAGGUCAGUUAGCUACUUCCCAGUGAUUGCAGGCUGCAAGUUUUCUCUGCACAAAUAGAAAUAUUGCCCUGAUCUCAUAAUUUUUACCUUUUAAUUUUAUGAUAUACCCAUGUAAUGCUCAGUCAUGGUGUAGAACUUUUCUUGAUAUUUAAUAUCAUUUGAUAUUUUGUCACAAAGAAUAGUUAUUGAGUAUAUGAUAUUAAGAUGGAAAUCACAAGCAGAAUUUAUGCUCUUGUACAGAUUACUGAAUGAAAUUGUGGGAUGAAUUCAUAUCAGACAGGAGUAGAUAAGUAGAGAUACUUCUAAAAUAUUUGAAUGUAGAUUCUUAUGUAAUGAUGAUUUUUUAAGUUAUGGAUUAUGGAGAAACACUUCAGAAAGGGGAUCCUUUUGUGCAAGUGCGAAAUUGGCCUAAACCCCAUUCAACAGUUUGGUUUGUCAUAUAAGCCAGUUCUUUUGACUAUUAAAGAGUUGCUUGUACUGGAACUAUUGCACUGCUGACUAGUUAAACGGAGAUGCAUUAUCUCAGACCCUCCAGUGUAUGGGCCUUGGCAAGAUGCUACUAUUUUACCCAAACCUAGUUCUGGUGAUGGAAUCUAUUGUAUUUAUCUCAAAAUACAAUUAAUGUGCUGUUACACUGUCUUUGGAAAUACUUAUGUACUUGUUCAUUUUGUACCAAAUGUUGAUUUAAUCCAGAAAUAAAUUAACAAAGGCUAAUUAGGGACUUCAUAAACCCUAAGCAUAGGCAGGUGGAUAACAGUUCUAAAAUAGAUAUAGAUUAACAUAAUUAUAAUAUUCUCUCUCUCUCCCAAAAAAAAAAAAAGGUUAUCCUUAAUAAUAGUCUUUUGAAGCUAGAGUUAAAUAUAGCCGUAACUGUAGGUUGAACCACAAUACAUAGACAUUGGCAAGAUGUUACAUAUAAUUUACUAAAUUGGUAUAUUUUAUUAUUUUAUUGAUUUGUUAUUAUUCCUCUGUUGGAGACACAUCAAGCCAAUCAGUGAUUUUUGUGUCUUAAAGGAAUAAUAUUGCAUUAUUGUAGCAGUUCAAAUAGCUUGUACCUAUAUUGGCAUAAUAGUUACAUAUUUUGCCUCCCCAGACCACAAAGAUUUAGGGGGGGGGUGAAGAUUCCUAAGUCUGGGAGCUUUCACUCGGUGAUAAUGUGACACUCUUUAGUAUAUAUUUAUGAACUGACCCCGGUCUGAGUAAAACUAAGAAUUAGGUGUGUUUUUAACGUAGGUGUUUAUAAAUAUCAUUAAUUGAUAGUAAGUAAUUUAGGCUUCUAUUUUCAGGUUAUACCCCAUUUCUGGAGCAAUUCUUGUUGGAAUUUGGAGUUGAUUAUAUUGAGAUAAGAUCAUAAUUAUUUUUUUAAGGUUUAUAAUUUAGUUACAGGUAAAGAUAACCCUAUUAUCUAGGAGCUAAGGUUGUUUUCCGAGUUGCUUUUAUUGCAGGCAAAGAAACCACCUGCUGUAGAUUUGCUUUUUAUGGCUAUUUUCCAUUUAGGAAAAAAACUUACUUGCAAUCUCUGUGAUAAAUAGGCAUACUCUACAGAUUUCAAGUGUAGGAAAAUGUUGGUUGUUGAUAUAGUGAAUUGUUGAAAAUUAAUGCAGACUAAUUGUAUAUAUUAAUGCCAACUUAUACUUUUAUAUAAAUGUAUACUUUUCCAUCUUUUUAAGGACAAUAAGUCUGGCUAGAGGAUUUCAUCACAUCACAUCACUACGUCAUCUAGUGUAGAGGAGAAGUAGUGAGGAGGCCACUGCUAGAAUACAUUUAUCUGCUUCAUGGAUUAUUCCUGAAAACAAGUUGGAAAAUGUCUACGCUAAGUUGAGUACAAUAAAACCCAGAGGGAACAAACUUUGUUUUACUUCCUUUAAUUGCAGUGCAAAAAUUUGUUUUAAGGCUUUACAAUGGAAAAUAAGUUUUGCUAAAUGUUUCCCAAAAUAACAAACUGCAAGCAGUUUCUUCAGUGUUUCUCGCCUAUGACUCACAAUGUUAAGAAAAUACAGAAGGGCCCACAUACAUGCCACUGUUUGUUCACUAAAGGUUUCAUUUCAUGAUGCACAUUACCAAUCAUGUAGCACAGAAUAUUACUAUAGAUCAAGAGAAAGAAAAUUGGAAUGUCUCCUCAAUAAGCACAAUUUCUGCACAAUAUAUUUGACACUACAUGAUGAGUUACCAUCACUGUGCAUUUUAGCCGAGGGAUUUUUUUUCUAUCUGAAAAUUCCAUACCAUUUUCACAAUAGUGUAGCUGCUCUGUCUUAUUACCUUAUUAGACUUGGUAUCAAAAUAUAUUAUCCAACUACACAAGCAGUAUACUGUACAUAACCAAUUUAUUAUUUCAAAAUGGGUGUCUGUUUACGGUGGUUCUCAAAAUUGCAUUGAAUGGAAUUUAAUAUCUACUUAAUGGGGAUUUGAGAAACUACAUGCACAUCUAGCUGUAACAAGUUUACAAAAUACAAUAGGAACAGUCUUCAAUUGGCAAAAUGCAGAUAGCACAGGCACCAGACAAGAUACCUUUAAAUACAGUAUGUGACUAAAGUCUCGACUGAUAAAUGAAAUGUUCAGCAGAAAUAAUUUAUAUACAUAUGAAAAGGCUGAUUCCAAAUUGCCCACAUAUGCAAUGCUAAAACCCGAGAAAUUUUUACAAGCAUAUCAUGUACUGUGUGGCAGGUAGCAUUGUUCGUCAUGAUACUAUGGUUGGACACGAGGUUAUCACACAAGCAGCAAAUUUUGUUUGGUAUUACAUUUCAAAAGUAUAUGCCCUUGUCAGUUUUUAAAGUGGACUGAUGGUUUGAUUUACUUUUCACAGGGAAUCAAGUAAA